rnacentral:rRNA from 1 species
AGCGAACGCUGGCGGAAUGCUUAACACAUGCAAGUCGCACGGGGGCUUCGGCUCGAGUGGCGGACGGGUGAGUAACGCGUAGGAACGUGUCUUGGGGUGGGGGAUAACGCUGGGAAACUGGCGCUAAUACCGCAUAUGGGCUGAGGCCCAAAGCCUUCGGGUGCCUUGAGAGCGGCCUGCGUCCGAUUAGCUAGUUGGUGGGGUAAAGGCUUACCAAGGCUUCGAUCGGUAGCUGGUCUGAGAGGACGAUCAGCCACACUGGGACUGAGACACGGCCCAGACUCCUACGGGAGGCAGCAGUGGGGAAUAUUGGACAAUGGGCGGAAGCCUGAUCCAGCAAUUCCGCGUGGGUGAAGAAGGUCUUCGGAUUGUAAAGCCCUUUCGACAGGGACGAUGAUGACGGACCUG